UACAGAGGUCCCGAGCGUUGUUCGGAUUUACUGGGCGUAAAGCGCACGUAGGCGGAUCGAUCAGUCAGGGGUGAAAUCCCAGAGCUCAACUCUGGAACUGCCUUUGAUACUGUCGAUCUGGAGUAUGGAAGAGGUGAGUGGAAUUCCGAGUGUAGAGGUGAAAUUCGUAGAUAUCGUAAGGAACACCGGUGGCGAAGGCGGCUAUCUGGACCGACAUUGACGCUGAGGCGCGAAAGCGUGGGGAGCAAACAGG
rnacentral:rRNA from 1 species